AUUGAACGCUGGCGGCAUGCCUUACACAUGCAAGUCGAACGGCAGCACGGGAGCUUGCUCCUGGUGGCGAGUGGCGAACGGGUGAGUAAUGCAUCGGAACGUGCCCUGAAGUGGGGGAUAACGUAGCGAAAGUUACGCUAAUACCGCAUAUUCUGUGAGCAGGAAAGCAGGGGAUCUUCGGACCUUGCGCUUUUGGAGCGGCCGAUGUCGGAUUAGCUAGUUGGUGGGGUAAAGGCCCACCAAGGCGACGAUCCGUAGCGGGUCUGAGAGGAUGAUCCGCCACACUGGAACUGAGACACGGUCCAGACUCCUACGGGAGGCAGCAGUGGGGAAUUUUGGACAAUGGGCGCAAGCCUGAUCCAGCCAUGCCGCGUGAGUGAAGAAGGUCUUCGGGUUGUAAAGCUCUUUCGGUGGGGAAGAAAUUGCUUGGGUUAAUACCCUGAGUAGAUGACGGUACCCGCAUAAGAAGCACCGGCUAACUACGUGCCAGCAGCCGCGGUAAUC
rnacentral:rRNA from 1 species